rnacentral:rRNA from 1 species
AUGCCUCGCUCCGGCGCUCUCCCCCUCCUCGCCGCGCUGGUCCUCGCCUUGGCGGCCGCGGCGGCGGCGUCGGCCUCGAACGCCAAGGCCGCUCCGGCCGCCACCGACUUCAUCCGCAAGUCGUGCCGCGAGACGCAGUACCCGUCGGUGUGCAUGCAGAGCCUGUCGUCGUACGGCAAGCCGCCGCCGCGCAGCCCGCAGGAGCUGGCGCGCGCGGCGCUGUCCGUGAGCGCGGACCGCGCGCGGUCGGCGUCGGCGUACGUCGGGCGGAUCUGCGGGCCGGGCCUCCGCAGCGGCAGCGGCGCGAAGGCAAAGAGCAGCCCCGCGCGCGACUGCCUGGAGAACAUGGCGGACAGCGUGGGCCACCUGCGCGACGCGGCCAAGGAGCUGGACGGGAGCCUGGGCCGGGCCGGGUCGCCGGCGUUCAGGUGGCACCUGAGCAACGUGCAGACCUGGUGCAGCGCGGCGCUCACCGACGAGAACACCUGCCUCGACGGGCUCUCCCGCGGCGUGGACGCCGGCACGCGCGCCGCCAUCCGGAGCAAGGUCGUGGAGGUCGCCCAGGUCACCAGCAACGCCCUGGCGCUCGUCAACAAGGUCGGGUCCGGGCACUAG